rnacentral:tRNA from 1 species
GGGCAGGUAUGCCUAGCGGCGAGGGCGGCGGACUGUAAAUCCGUUACACGAGAAACACCGAAGGUUCGAGUCCUUCCCUGCCCA